AUUGAACGCUGGCGGCAGGCCUAACACAUGCAAGUCGAACGAGUGGCGGACGGGUGAGUAAUGUCUGGGAAACUGCCUGAUGGAGGGGGAUAACUACUGGAAACGGUAGCUAAUACCGCAUACCAUCCUCUGUGCCCAGAUGGGAGUAGCUAGUGGGUGAGGUAACGUCUCACCAAGGCGACGGUCCCUAGCUGGUCUGAGAGGAUGACCAGCCACACUGGACCUGAGACACGGUCCAGACUCCUAAGGGAGGCAGCAGAGGGGAAUAUUGCACAAUGGGCGCAAGCCUGAUGCAGCCAGGCCGCGUGUAUGAAGAAGGCCUUCGGGUUGUAAAGUACUUUCAGCGGGGAGGCGUUACCCGCAGAAGAAGCACCGGCUAACUCCGUGCCAGCAGCCGCGGUAAUAC
rnacentral:rRNA from 1 species